rnacentral:rRNA from 1 species
UACGGAGGGAGCUAGCGUUGUUCGGAAUUACUGGGCGUAAAGGGCUCGUAGGCGGCCAACUAAGUCAGACGUGAAAUCCCUCGGCUUAACCGGGGAACUGCGUCUGAUACUGGACGGCUUGAGUUCGGGAGAGGGAUGUGGAAUUCCAGGUGUAGCGGUGAAAUGACGUAGAUAUCUGGAGGAACACCGGUGGCGAAGGCGGCAUCCUGGACCGACACUGACGCUGAGGAGCGAAAGUGUGGGGAGCGAACGAGGA